rnacentral:rRNA from 1 species
AUUGAACGCUGGCGGCAGGCUUAACACAUGCCAGUCGAGCGGUAACAGAGAGAAGCUUGCUUCUCUGCUGACGAGCGGCGGACGGGUGAGUAAUGCCUAGGAAUCUGCCUAGUAGUGGGGGAUAACUUGCCGAAAGGUAAGCUAAUACCGCAUACGUCCUACGGGAGAAAGGAGGGGACCUUCGGGCCUUUCGCUAUUAGAUGAGCCUAGGUCGGAUUAGUUAGUUGGUGAGGUAAUGGCUCACCAAGACCGCGAUCCGUAACUGGUCUGAGAGGAUGAUCAGUCACACUGGAACUGAGACACGGUCCAGACUCCUACGGGAGGCAGCAGUGGGGAAUAUUGGACAAUGGGGGGGAACCCUGAUCCAGCCAUGCCGCGUGUGUGAAGAAGGUCUUAGGAUUGUAAAGCACUUUAAGUUGGGAGGAAGAGCAGUUAACUAAUAUUUGACUGUUUUGACGUUACCGACAGAAUAAGCACCGGCUAACUUCGUG